CCCCUAGUAACUGCGAGUGAAGCGGGAAAAGCUCAAAUUUGAAAUCUGGCAGUUCUCAACUGUCCGAGUUGUAAUCUAGAGAAGUGUUACCUGUGCUGGACCAUGUACAAGUCUCCUGGAAUGGAGCAUCAUAGAGGGUGAGAAUCCCGUCUUUGACAUGGACUGCCUGUGCGUUAUGGUGCGCUCUCAAAGAGUCGAGUUGUUUGGGAAUGCAGCUCAAAAUGGGUGGUAAAUGCCAUCUAAAGCUAAAUAUUGGCGAGAGACCGAUAGCGAACAAGUACCGUGAGGGAAAGAUGAAAAGAACUUUGGAAAGAGAGUUAAACAGUACGUGAAAUUGCUGAAAGGGAAACGCUUGAAGUCAGUCGCAUCAGCCAGAAAUCAGCCUUGCUUUUGCUUGGUGUAUUUUUUGGUUUCUGAUGGGUCAGCAUCAAUUUUGACCAUUUCAUAAAGUCUUUGGGAAUGUGGCAUCCUCGGAUGUGUUAUAGCCCAUUGUCGUAUACGGUGGUUGGGAUUGAGGAACUCAGCACGCUCUGCAAGGGGCCAGGUCUAUUAGACCAUGUUCGUGCUUAGGAUGCUGGCAUAAUGGCUUUAAUCGACCCGUCUUGAAACACGGACCAAGGAGUCUAACAUGCCUGCGAGUGUUUGGGUGGAAA
rnacentral:rRNA from 1 species